CUUUUUUGCUCGGCGAGAGAGCAGAAGGUGGAGAGGGCUAAGGGUGUAGGGUGGCGGCCGGGAGCAGAAGGAAGGAAACUGGAGCGGCUGCCGGACUCGGGAGAGGGGAGAGGGGAGUAGCGUUCCGCUCUGUUCUCCUCUCCUCUCCUCUCCUCUUCCUCUAGGUCGCGGCCGCCGGUACCGCGUAGAGAACUGAAGAGAAGGAGUGGGGUCUACGGUCUAGGUAGGUAGGGCCGGCCUGUGUUGGCUGCCGCGCGGGCAGGCACUCCACUCCUCUGCUCGCCUCCCCGAGCCCCUGCGCUGCCUCGACGACCGUUCGACGUUCCACGAUCCAAACCGGAACCGCAGAAGGCAACCUGCCCGGGUGACGUAGAAGCCGUAGCCGAUACUUUGUCUAACCCAACCAGAUGACGUCUACUCGGCGUGGCGCAUCGAACCCCUCUACUACAGCGCGGGCCACCUCCACCGGUGCGGCCUUGCCUCCGACCGACUCUAGCUACGGGAGAAGCGUUAAGCCUCCCUCAACGUGUGACUUAGGACGAUGGACUGACUACAACUGUUCACGAAACCGAGGUGGGUAUACGAUCACGAUCUACAUUGAAAACCUUCGAAUAAUGGGGAAAAGAAGAGGAGGUCAAUACCGCAGAUAAGUAAAAGACGUUGAGACCUGCACCCUCUCGCUCAACCUAUGAAAGUCGGCCUCCUGAACGACUGGUGUUCGUUGUUGGACCUCGAGGAGAGACGUUGACGAUGUCUUUUAAGAUUGUACCGAGUGUGCGCAACGCAGACGACGUGGGAGGUGUAGUUCUUCUACCAUACGAGGAAGUCGCAGACGGAGUGGCGAGCGCAUGCGUUGGCAUAACUUCCGAUGUGACAAUAACAGGAUACGAAGAAAAGGUACAGUCCCUGGGACUUGACCGCCGUCGUAAGGCACCGGGUCUCACUGUGGAAUGGGACACAAACAACCUUUGACAAACGACGUCACUACUCGUUGGGACGGUUGAAGCGUUUCGUGGUCCGUUUGGAUUUCCACCCAAGGUAGUAUCGCUCCUACCACCGCUUCCAGUUCCCCUUGGCCCUCGUGGACGACUGGUGUUCGUAGUUGAAUCUGGGGGAGAGGUGUGGACUACGUCACUACCCGUUCGUUGGGACGGUCGGUUGAAGCCGUUCGUGGCCGUUUUGGCUUCCGCCCAAGGUAGUAUCUUUUCUACCACCGCUUACAGUUCCCCUUGGCUAAAGUAAAAAGUCGAACUGUUAGACGAACACCUUCUUAGUAACGAAUUAGGGUAAGAUGGAUCUACCUUUUCCCCCGGAGGAACUCAAGCGUCUCUGCCGACCAGUAUAACAGUAACACCACCGACUCCCACGUCGGGUCUGGAGUGGCAGAGAGGGAUCGGGGCUUUCGUUUCAAAAAACGUCCCUCCUGGACGACUGGUGUUCGUAGUUGAACCUGGGGGAGAGACGUUGACGACGUCCAGUUGGAUCUGAGACGUUUUUCACGACCGAUGGACGUUUGAAAGGUAAUUAUCAUCAUCAUUAUCAUCAUAAGUACUCACGGUGCAUAAAAGAAAGGUUCCUUGGGAACUGAAGUCAACCAGUAUACCAGUAACAUCAGCGACUACUACGACAGCUGUUCUAGAGUAGCGGGUUUCAGGCGUAGGAACAACCUUACAACACAAGUGACCUCUCUGGACUGAACCAAGGAACCUAUAACAGCUAUUGGCCUCUCUUAUUGGUGCACCUUCAGCACCUCCUCGUACUCAGUUCUCUUCAGUAUUCUUGGGAACUGAAACCAGUGUUCAUGGUACGGCUAACAACGAAUUAGGGUCCCAGCGGUAAGAUGCAACUUCCUUUUCACCCCGAGACGUUGAAGUAUGUCUUCCGACUAGCAUACCAGUAACACCACCGACCGCUACGAUCGGUAUUCUAGAGUAGCGGGUUUAGUAAUUAACACACCUGGGGUGGUAGAGAAGGAGCCGAGUUGAUGUCACUUUUGGAAUCCAAAAAUAUAAAAAAACCAAUAAACGUUGUCUGAGCAACCAGGCCCAGGUAGUGACAAUCUUACAACACGUUGUACUUUUCCGUACUCGGACAACAUUGAGAGAGAACAGUAGCAGAACACAAAAACACAAGUAACGUCUCUGGACUGAACUAAGAAACCUAUAAUAACUAGUGUCCUCUCCUCUUCUUUGUGGACCUUCAGCACCAACCAACAAUGUCCCGGUCCCCCCAGAACUCCUAUACCAGUUCCCGGUAUACACACCUCUGCCAACAGUUUCGUUAAUUCUACACAUCAAACCGACCAAGUUCUAUAUACGUUUACUACUCGUUCGUUGGGACGGUGGAAUCCGUUCGUGGUCCCUUUGGGCUUCUACCCAAAGUAGUAUCGUUUCGAUGUCGUGACACCGUGGGACUGGAAAAAUCCUUCUUCGUGGAAAACUAAGUCCUGUAUAAACUCAAGUAACUUUCAAAUGGAACCAGAAUGGCACACUUCACACUAGAUAAACGACACCAUCCUCUAUCUGGACUGAACCAAGAAACCUACUAUAACUACUGUCCUCUCCUCUUCUUUAUGCACCUUCAGCACCAACCAACAAUGUCCCGGUCCCCAGAACUCCUGUUUAUACUCCUCUGUCAACAGUUUCGGUAUGACGUUGGGGCUGUGUGCCACCACUAGAAGGAGCGGACGUAGCUGAGGCCGGCGGAGAAGAAACUGAGGACGUACCCAUUCUGUGGGCCAAGGAAGAGAACGGGAGAGUGUACGAGGUUCCUCGGGCUGGUAGUACCGGUACAACACGGCCGGUAGUACGGUUACUGGUUCACGAACACCACCACCACCAGUAGACCGGUGGUUAGGAGAACU
rnacentral:rRNA from 1 species